CUGAAUCAUAUUCAAGUUUCGUUUUCGGUUCAGGGGUUACCAGAGAGUGCACAGCUCAGACUUCAACUGCCUCCAGAACAACUGGGACCUGCACAAGUAUGAAUCUCCAAAAAAACUAUAUGCUUUAUCUCUGAGUCCUGAGGCUGCUACCAAAGUUGCACUGUCAGAUGAGAUACACUACACACUGAAACAGAAAUCACCAGUGCUUUCACACCUGCAUUGUGAUUACAUUACCUGCCUCUUACUUUCAUGGUAAUUUUAAACCACUUCACUGACUCGAACAAAAAGGUUGCAGACAACUGCAGAAUUCAGUCGACUUUUUCCACUGACCAACAGAAAAAGCUGGCUAGAGGGAAGACAGAAGAAUGCAAGAUUUACAGCGGAGGGACAGAGCCAACCCUGUGUUCUGAUUAGCAGUUUGGAUGCCAUUGUUCUGUCUGGAAAACACAUGUCAUCCUCAGAAUCACCCAAGCUGUCCAUUGACAUCUGCCAGCAUAUCCUCCAUCACCUCGCUCUUUCUUUUUUCUCACUUUCUCUUCCUUACUCCUCUUUUUUCAUUUCCCUGUGUGAACUAUUCCAGUGCAGUUAGGAGCUACCCCUAGCAAAAAGUGAUGUGGCUUUCACCCCCCACAAUAUCACCUUCAGUGUCAAACUGACCACCACAAAACAACAGAAAAUAGACAGUUCCUCUGAGUCUUCAAACUUGUAGGGUUUGUGCUGUGUUUCACUCUGGGGACAGAAAUUCAUAACAGCCCAGAGGCUUCGUAUUUUCAAAAUUGUCACACUAAGACUUGACUGGCUCCAUGAAAGAAGCAGUAGAAAGAGAUGCCUGAAGGUAGGCUGGGAAGAAUCCAAAAUGAUGUCAGGUUUCCUUCUACCUUCCCAUCAAUAGGGUCUUUGAAGAAAAAGCCUCUUCAGAGAAGAAAAAAAUAACUUUCUCUUUAGUUAAAAGGGCUACCAUGGUUGCAGUUUGGAGACUGACAGUUAAUGUUAGCUUUAUUACCUUAAAAUCUAUACAGCCUCAUGGUUUGCUGUGGAUGGCUUUGCCUCCAUGAGUUUUGAUGAUGUCCUUGAAAGAGAAAUAUAGAUGCACAGCUUCAUUCUCUGUUGACUUUGGAGGUGAAUAUUUUAUCCCCUUUCCUUUUCCUGGCUGUUUGCAAACAGCAGUGAUAACUCCUAUGCAGUAUGCCUAAGAAUUGUGGCAGAGGAGAGAAAAUCAAAGCUUUUACUGGACUAGAACAGUUCCAAGUCUGAUAGUUCUCUUUCCUCUCUGUGGUGACUGAUGAUGAGGGACAGGGGAGAUAAAAGAGGUGCUGGAACUGUGCAUCGCUGUCUAUUAUCUUUUGUCCAAAAGAUACUUUUAUUAUUUUCAUUAUUGUUUUUAGCUUUUAUGUAGGAUGAAAAGAUUCUUAACUAAAGGAGAAUACUUUUCUUUUCUGAGGUCUAUGCAUUUUUGUGUGUGACUUUAUAGGGAAUAGAAUCUUACAUUCUUGAAGAGUCCUUAGAAAAAUGUUGAUGCCUCUCUCUAGUUAUACCAUAGCACAACUUUUCCAGCAAAGAAUAAUUCCUGCUGAAAUAUUGGCUCGGCAGUUUCUGGAAGAUAGUAAAUUGCAAUUUAUCCACCAUAAUGUCUAUCAGCCUGCUGAGAACUUUUUUUUUUUCUGUGAAGGCCCUGAAACACAGUUUGUACAAUGCUGUCAUACCCAAAUAGAGCCCCACUACCUGAUCAGGGCUAUUUUUUAAGCACCCAGCUCUCAUACUGUCCCUUUGGAAGAGUUAAGUUCAUAAUUUCUAACUUUAAUGAUUGCUAACAGAAUAAUUCUCAUCCAGCCAUGCUGGGUUGAAGAAUCUGAGAGGCUUC